rnacentral:rRNA from 1 species
GUUUGAUCAUGGCUCAGAAUCAACGCUGGCGGCGUGCCUAACACAUGCAAGUCGAACGCGAAAGUGGAGCAAUCCAUGAGUAGAGUGGCAAACGGGUGAGUAACGCGUGGGCGACCUACCUCAGAGUGGGGGAUAACCUUCCGAAAGGAGGGCUAAUACCGCAUGACAUACCGUGUUUGGAUACACGGAUAUCAAAGCCGGGGAUCGCAAGACCUGGCGCUUGGAGGGGGGCCCGCGUCCGAUUAGCUAGUUGGUGAGGUAACGGCUCACCAAGGCUCCGAUCGGUAUCCGGCCUGAGAGGGCGGACGGACACACUGGAACUGAGACACGGUCCAGACUCCUACGGGAGGCAGCAGUGGGGAGUUGUUCGCAAUGGGCGCNAGCCUGACGACGCNACGCCGCGUGGAGGAUGAAGACUUUCGGGUCGUAAACUCCUUUCGACCGAGAUGAAUUUCCCACGAACUAACACGUCGUGG